rnacentral:rRNA from 1 species
GCCAAGUUUCCUUUUAUAGCUAAUGUUGGGAUCGAUUCUCAGCCUAAGCGUAACACUAAGGUGACCUCAUGAACAAUUUAAUCGAAGGAAUAGAAGUACACAAAGGCAUCAAUACUUACACACUACACAAGCAAACAGCCAAGCCCACCAUGCCUCCACCAACGAUAGCAACGUCGAGCUCAUCAUCUUAAACUUUCACACCGCCAACCUUCUCAGUGCGAUCCUACAUGUCAACACACAGAUUCACCAUCAGUUACACGAGUUUGGAAUGAAACCUCAAUCAAUCUCAUAACUCGCAGCGCCCUGAAUGAGCCAUUUCUCUUAACACUAUGGGGUGACAACAUAGGUGAUUACAGGGGAGAAAACUACCUGUGAAUUGGCCACCCCCGCCAGCGCUCCGUUGACCCACGCCUCCUUUCAAAGCAGCUGCUGGUGCACAAGCCGGAGGUGUACAUGCCCUUGUCGCCGAGUUCGCCGCCCGCCGUGUGUAGCGCCGCCUCCGCUCGCCUGACUCAAGCUCAAUGCUAUCGUCGCCGAGUUUACCGCCCGCCGCACGUAGCGCCGCCUCCACUCGCCUGGCUCAAGCUCGACGCCCUCGUCGUCGAGUUCUCUGCCCGCCCUCGGAGACGGCACAGCCCGCUCGUCUCCGCCGCUUGACACCACGAUGUUGGUCCCAGUGGAGCUGCGAGACAGUGAACUACUUUCCUGGUCUCCGCCGCCACCUGCCUCGUCUCCGACGUCACCGCCGCAUGGUCGCUCUCCUGAGUGUGCUGGGUGGGAUGUAGAAUGGGCGGUGGGGGAAGAGGAUAAGAUCUGACAGGCGUUCGUGACGAGGCGUUUAUUUUCCGAACAAAAAAAGGGUGACAUGGCUGAUCUCCCUGCUCUAAUAUUCGUGCUAACGAUCCUACGGCGCAAAACUAAGUUACUGAGAACAAAGUAAUAGGACACCGAUAUCUCCCGAUCGUUCGGGAUGGGAGGGGAGUGGACCGAACGAAUUGUUUAGUGCACCAGGGCACUACGACCGAACGGGUUUCGUUCGUUACGAUGUCC